UUAUUUAUUUAUUUAUUUUUUACUGUGAAUAUUGUUAGAUACCAUAUUUCUAGUGUUUGGACUUGCCCAACUCUGUUUAUGUUACCUAUGAAGAGCAUGAUGGUUUGUCGCUUGAUAAAACAUUCUAUUAAUUUAGGCUGGGUUCUGGCAACUCAGUAAAUAUCCUAUCUGCUGUCCUGUUUCCUUUAUUUAUUUUCCCCCUUUUGAGGGGAGGAACAAAUAUGACUAGUUGAAAGGAUUUUUUGGAAACAAAAUUCAAGUCGAGGAUUGUUGGUACCAGAAAAUGAGAAUCCAGGAUUUCUUUUUGCCCUGGUAGCUGCAUAUAUGAACACGUUGGAGAAUUGAGUUGUUUCAUGCAGAUAUAUGAGGUCCAUACGAGAGGUGAUUUUAUAUAAUAUAAUUACUAAUCAAUAGAUUAUAAUGGCGCACUCAAUAAAGUCCAUCUAAUAUGGAUGGAUAUGAGCAGGACAAAUAUAAGUUUAACUAAACUGAGAAGACAAAUUAAUAUUAAUUUAUGAAUUAAAUUUUCCUUUUGUUGAUAAUGCAAAUCAUUAACACAGAAAAAGCUGUGCUUGGACUUUUUAAGUUCCUAGCAACUUUAACUUGUGAUCAGAUGUAAGAUUGUUGCAAGUGCAGAAACUUGAUAAGUGGAAGACAUUUUCAAUGAAGAGCCAACAUGUCAGUAAUUGAGAAAUUACUUUUCUGCUGUCCCCUUUGAUCUAAGUUUUGUGUGUGUAUGACAGAUUUGAGAGACAUCUACUUGUUGAAAAGAUGGUCUUAAGCGAAAAAAUACCAGAAUUUAAGGGGAGAAAAAGGGGAAAAAAAAAAAAUAGUGCUUUCAGAUGUAAACGGUUGCAUUGUGGAGUGGCUUAGAGGAGUUCCCGAAUAUAUACAACAAAAUGGAUUAAUUUUUGUUAUUUCAAAAUCACUUCAUGAAUUGGCUUCACUUUGUUCCAGUUUUUGUUAUCUCUUUGCGGUGUUAGUUGGUGGAGAGGUAGAGUCAAGAUAUUUUUAGUUUUAGAAUAAAAGGGAAAAGAAGAAUGAUAAAGAAGGUGGGCUUUUACUAGUGCCUGACAAGAAGCAAGAACCAGUUAGAACCAAAUAAGGUGCAUUAGUCCAGAAAAUUUUAAUAUGUUACUAUGCAUGGAUAUAAGAAUAGGAGGGGAACGGAGGAGAGGGGAAAAAAUUUAUCUUGUGUUUGGCAACUUAAAAAUUUAUGAAUAAGGAAAAGGGAGAGGAAAUAUUUUUAUUUUGUUUGAAUGAAGGAGAUUAGAAAGGAAGGGUUGUAAAUAAAGGGAAGGAAGAGUAAGUUUGGAUUAUCAUUAAAUUAAUUAGGGUUAAUUUGGAUUAUCAUUAAAUUAAUAGUGUAAUAAGAUUCUCCACCAGGAGUUGAAUUUUUUACAACCGAAUUUGGAUUGUAAUCAAUUUCAACUCCUAGAAAGGGAAUGAGAGAGUGAUUAUCCUCCUUUCCCUUCCCCCUCCUUAAAGAAAAAAUUGACAAACAAGAUAGAUAUUUCACCUCCAUUCUCCUCCCUUCCCUCCCAAGUCCCAUUUCACUCCCACUCGUGCGUUCUGUAAACUAACAAGCAGACCAGUUGCAUACAACAAAGGGAUAUCCUUAAUUGAUUAAGUGCAUGAUAUGCCUUACUGGUACUUCCAUUGAAAUUGUCUGAACUUGUUGAGGAACAUUUUAAAUUCAUGUGAAUGUUAUUAAAGCAUGGCAUUCCCUGCUAUUUGUUUUGGUUAGAAUUCAAAAUUAAUAUACAAAUAUUUAUGAUGGUGAUUUCAGAUGAUAUUAUAAGUUUUCUUGAACUUUGCAGGCUGUAAAUUUAAGAACCACU
rnacentral:misc_RNA from 1 species